CAAUGUCUGUGAUUAUCCACUAAAGAAUUCUGCAUAUACUCAUUAUCCACAUGAGAGUUUUCCUCUCUAUUUUUGCACAGCUCAGGAGUGAGACUUCCCGCAAAUUGCAAUUUAGAUGUAAAAAGAGUUUAUUUUAAGAAUGUUCAUCAUUCAACACUAAAGGGAACCUACGCUUGGUGAAGUGCAUGCAUAACUUUCACCUUGUUAAUGAGAGUUCUACAUGUACAUCAGUAGGAAACCUUUGGUCAGAGACAAAAUCUCCAGCAGUGAAAAAGGCAGAUUCACCUUCAGUUAUCAAAAUCAGCAUGAACUCUCCUUUCUCAGAGAUAAUAUAGUUUCAAAUAAUGGAGUUCCACGUGGAAAAGAAAGAAGACAACAGCACUCCUUCUGCCUUUGGGACCUAACAUAUCUGUACUUUGAUCUCUUUGUCCUCAUUUGUUUU
rnacentral:lncRNA from 1 species